rnacentral:lncRNA from 1 species
CAUGCAGUUAUUGCUCUGAAUAUACGCGGAUAUUUAAAGUGCAUGGCGGAUUUAAUAAUUGUUAUGGAUAACCUCCAGCAGUAAGAAAUAUAAAGGCUCACUGCAGUUUUGAGUGCUCAACAAGUAUUGACCCCACACUAUGCUCAGCAAAUAGGGCCCUUGUAUUUCUGUGAAUCCUCAUGCAGUACAGUACUGCUGUUGGAAGAGGAGCAAACAGUGUGGUAUCUAUGGUCCACCAUCACU